rnacentral:rRNA from 1 species
CGCGAAAACUUUACAAUGCUGGCAACAGCGAUAAGGGAACCUCGAGUGCCAGGUUACAAAUCUGGCUGUCGAGAUGCCUAAAAAGCAUUUCAUAGCAAGGGCCGGGCAAGACCGGUGCCAGCCGCCGCGGUAACACCGGCGGCUCGAGUGGUAACCGUUAUUAUUGGGUCUAAAGGGUCUGUAGCCGGCCGGAUAAGUCUCUUGGGAAAUCUGGCAGCUCAACUGUCAGGCUUUCAGGAGAUACUGUCUGGCUCGAGGCCGGGAGAGGUGAGAGGUACUUCAGGGGUAGGGGUGAAAUCUUGUAAUCCUUGAAGGACCACCAGUGGCGAAGGCGUCUCACCAGAACGGACCUGACGGCAAGGGACGAAAGCUAGGGGCACGAACCGGAUUAGAUACCCGGGUAGUCCUAGCCGUAAACGAUACUCGCUAGGUGUCGGCCACGGUGCGACCGUGGUCGGUGCCGUAGGGAAGCCGUGAAGCGAGCCACCUGGGAAGUACGGCCGCAAGGCUGAAACUUAAAGGAAUUGGCGGGGGAGCACCACAACGGGUGGAGCUUGCGGUUUAAUUGGAUUCAACGCCGG